GUUCUUUUUUCUUUCUUUUUUUUGUUGAUGCUGCUGGUUGAACUUGCAGCUAUGUUUGAGUUAUUACCAAAAUCAGAAAAAGGGAAAGAGAGAGAAAGAAAGAGAAGAGAA
rnacentral:ribozyme from 1 species